CAGAUAGCUCAGUCGGUAGAGCAGAGGACUGAAAAUCCUCGUGUCGGCGGUUCGAUUCCACCUCUGGG
rnacentral:tRNA from 1 species